AGAAUACCCCUUCUGGGAAACUGCCGUUCCCGAGUUUGGACACACGAGGGCAGUCAAGCUCCAUCCAGCACAAUGCCGCCUGAAACAGAAGGUACAUCAAGGAAACGAGGGAACAAAUCCAGGACUGAAGAUGGUGCAUCCUCACCGACCACCUUCUGCCGAUACUGGAAAGUCGCUCAUCUUCUCUUUGACCACAGAUUCAUCAGUGGAAUAUCGUAUCGUAGAUAUCGCCUCCCUGCACUCCUCACCAAAUUGCUGUUGACAGAAUAACAGAGAUUCUCGUCUGGUUUUUGGACCAUCCUGAAGAACAGUCUUGGAAUGACACCGGGAGCCAGCACAGGUGUUACGUUGAACUGUCUUGAUCCUCCAUGCAAUGAAGCCACUAUUACCCUCAGGAUCAUAGUAGUGUUCCUGUUUAAGAAAAGACCCAAAGAGAGGCAUCUCGUGCUUGGCUUCAAGAAUGAAUUACUCAACACAGACAAUUGUGGAAUCUGAUGAAUGGGAUGAAGCUGGGGAUAGUGGAGUCAGUACAGAGGAGGAUGCUUGAUCUGAGACCAGUUGAACAUCCAGAUGUACAAAAUCACAGACAGAACAAAAUCAAUUUAAAUGUACAUGUAUUUAUCAGUAACAAAAGCAUUUCAACAAAUACUUGAAUGGUUACAUAAAAAAAUAUAAAGUAUAUUAUCUUCAUUAAGUACUUUUUACGAAUAAGAUGUACUUAACGUAAUGAUCAAUAGUAUAGCAAAUGAUAAUAGUUUGAGGUCCCUCAAAAAGAUAUUUUAGACUCUGCUCCUAGGUAACUUCAUGUGUUCCCUACGUGGCCUCAUCUAUUUCACUCGAGAAUAUCCACAAAUAGGGAAGAAGAUUACAAAAAUAAAGGUAAUGUAUACAAUAAUUAUCGUGAACGGGUUUAAAAAAGGGGAGAGAGAGUAAUAGUAAUCAUGUAAUAUUUCUUGGCUAACUACCACAAACUUGGAACAGAAUACCCCUUCUGGGAAACUGCCGUUCCCGAGUUUGGACACACGAGGGCAGUCAAGCUCCAUCCAACACAACGCCGCCUGAAACAGAAGGCAGGUUUGGGCUAUUUUACACUGACGCAGCUCAUCAGCGUUAUUACUGUGCAUUGUCUAGUUUUCACGUAUCAAGGACAAUACACGGAGCUUCUGAACUGUUUAACAGCAUCAUCAUUAUGAUUUAAUUUUUAAAGAACGCACCCUCUUCUCUAGACAUGGAAAUGUUGGGUUUUUUAAGUUUACAUUGUCACACAGCAGCUGUACAGAUAUCUGGAUAUAUUAUUUCAGUGUCCAUUCUUAAACACGACAGAUGAACAAACAAAGAAACUAACCACAUGAAAAGGUUAGAUAGACCAAUGAUUAAAUACUACCCUGCUCAAAUGAAUACAGAGGCCAGCUCUGAUACCACAACGUUUAAAAACCUCGACAUUCGCGGCGUCAUAAAGGGAACAACCGUCAAGCAUACCAUCAGGAAACUUAUAGAACUCUGAACGUGACGUCAUAACAGAUCUUAUGGCUCGCUGCUCCGAUUUGACUAUAUAUGUCUGUGCGCGCGCCGGGGAGACUGACCUGGACACGGUAUAAGGACAGCACACAAACACAUUUAAAACAUAUUAACACAUUAACAUUAUAUCAUGUACAUAGCAGUAUAGUUAUCAUAAUAAAGUACACAAAUUUACUGCUAAUAGUAACAUUAUUAAUGUCUUUCUAAUCUCAUUAGUCAUUUCAUUCUCAUCACUGCUCCUACAUAACUUCAUGUGUUCCCUAGGUGGCCUCAUCUAUUUCACUCGAGAAUAUUGCUGGCUCAAAUUUAGCCUAUUACCUGAAGACACUUAAAAAUUCAACAUAGAAGCAAAUACUCACAUCUGCAAACCCAGUUGGAGAUAGAAAAAUAAGACAACAGCCGUGAGGGAGAAGAAGCAAGGUUCCAGAUUUAUUGGUUCCGUUCCACCACACGAGAUCCACACCGAUGAGAAUUCUCAGAAGUUAUCUAAAAAACCAGAGCUGAAGCUCUUCUAUUUAUACAGUUUUCUUAGGGUCAGGAUGACCCAGACACGAAUGUGUUUUAGAAAGAGCUUAUCAAAAUUACCAUUCUGUUUUAGAAAGGGCUCAUCAAAAUUACCAGUAUGUUUUGAAAAGAGCCUUUUCCAAACACCAUUAGGUUUGAAAGAGGUACGAGACACAACAUUUCGGAGAGACCUUGGUCUCACAGUUAUCUCGCGUGUGCAACGUGACUCAACUACCCUUAUAAAUGGCCCCUCUUGGUUCUCUCUUAAAAAUUAAGGCCUUCGUCUGUAUUACUCCUGACCUUUUCUCGUGAGACAAGACUCUUCCCCACCUCCAAGUAUAUUAUGAGCCUGUGUGUGUGUGUGUGUGUCUCUUAGUUGGCCGUCCACCUACGCUCUGAGGCCUGCCGCACUAAUCAAAUACAUGUAUGGUUUGCUGUGUGUUGUGUCUUAGGUAAACAUCCGUUCAUACAGUGCACCAGACCGGUGAAUUCUCAAUAAGAUUACAUAUUACUAAUACUAGGUCUCCCUCGUGUUUAUUUCAUGUAUAUUUUAUAUACAACAAUAUCCACAAAUAGGGAAGAAGAUUACAGAGAUGAAGGCUUAAAACGUGCUUGAAUGAUAAAAAGUCAAUAAAUACAAAAUCACUAAAUAACUUUAAAGGGUUUAUUUUCUAUAGAACAUGAAUACAAUCCUUUCACUCAAAAUAGGACUCCCCGCUGCAGACCC